rnacentral:rRNA from 1 species
CGCGUAGGCGGCCCGGUAAGUCUGGAGUGAAAGUCCUGGCUUCAAGUUGGGAAUUGCUUUGGAUACUGUCGGGCUUGAGUGCAGGAGAGGUUAGUGGAAUUCCCAGUGUAGCGGUGAAAUGCGUAGAGAUUGGGAGGAACACCAGUGGCGAAGGCGACUAACUGGACUGUAACUGACGCUGAGGCGCGAAAGUGUGGGGAGCAAACA